UACAGGGGGUGCAAACGUUGCUCGGAAUCAUUGGGCGUAAAGCGCACGUAGGCGGUUCGUUAUGUCGGAUGUGAAAGCCCUUGGCUUAACCGAGGAAGUGCAUCCGAAACUGGCGAGCUAGAGUACUAAAGAGGAUCGCGGAAUUCCCGGUGUAGAGGUGAAAUUCGUAGAUAUCGGGAGGAACACCGGUGGCGAAGGCGGCGAUCUGGGUCGAUACUGACGCUGAGGAGCGAAAGCGUGGGGAGCGAACAGG
rnacentral:rRNA from 1 species